rnacentral:lncRNA from 1 species
UUUCAGAGUGUUCCUGAGGGCCAUUAAUCAGUUUGGAUCUAAACCAGAUGUCUCUCUGAUUUCUUUCAGAGUGUUCCUGAGGGCCAUUAAUCAGUAUGCAGCCGUGUUAAACAAGAAGUUCCUGGAUCAGACCAACUUUGAGCUUCAGCUGUGGAACAACUACUUCCACCUCGCCGUGGCGUAUCUUACCCAGGAGUCCUUGCACUUGAGAACUUCUCCAGCGACAAAAGAUCCAAGAUCUUCCAGAAGUGAGUUACAUUUACCCCCCGUCACGCCUGCCCAGAGGACAGGACAUUACCCCCGUCACACAUACCGCAGGAACAUACCCCCGUCCCACACUCCCCAGAGGACAGGACAUUACCACCGUCACACACCCCCCAGAGGACAUUACCCCCAUCACACACUCCCACAGAGACUGGACAUUACCCGUCACACACCCACCCCAGAGGACAUUACCCCGUCACACACCCCCAGAGGACAGGACAUUACCCCCGUCUGACACUCCCCAGAGGACAUUCUACCCCCGUCACCACUCCCCAGAGGACAGGACAUUACCCCCGCUCACACACUCCCCAGAGGACAUUACCCAUCACACACUCCCCAGAAGACAGGACAAACCCCGUCACACACACUCCCCAGAGGACAGGACAUUACCCCCCCGUCACACACUCCCCAGAGGACAGGACAUUACCCCCUCACAUCACUCCCAAGAGGACAGGACAUUACCCCCGUCACACACUCCCCAGAGGACAGGACAUUACCCCCGUCACACACUCCCCAGAGGACAUUACCCCCGGCACACACUCCCCAGAGACAGGAACAGAGGACAGGACAGAGACAACCCCCUGUCUCUCUGUUAUCCAUAUCCUAU